rnacentral:rRNA from 1 species
GAUGAACGCUGGCGGCGUGCCUAAUACAUGCAAGUCGAGCGAACAGAUGAUAAGCUUUCUCCUCUGCCGUUAGCGGCUGACGGGUGAGUAACACGUACAUCACCUUCCUCUAAUACUUGGAUGAUUUCGUAAAACCGCUGCUACUACCGCCUCAUAUUUUCAACCGCUUGGUUCAAUAGUUCAUCCCGCUUUUCCUGUUCUUUUUAGCUGAUUUCGAGCUGCAUUAGCUAGUUGGUAAGGUAACGGCGUACCAAGGCUACGAUGCGUAGCCGACCUGAGAGGGUGAUCGGCCACACUGGAACUGAGACACGGUCCAGACUCCUACGGGAGGCAGCAGUAGGGAAUAUUCGGCAAUGGGCGAAAGCCUGACGGAGCAAGGCCGCGUGAGUGAUGAAGGUCUUCGGAUCGUAAAGCCCUGUUAUUAGGGAAGAAAAGAAGUGGAAGUAAACAUGGACGUCUUGACGGUACCUAAUGAGAAAGCAACGGCUAACUUCGUG